CCUACGGGGGGCUGCAGUGAGGAAUAUUGGUCAAUGGGCGCGAGCCUGAACCAGCCAAGUAGCGUGAAGGAUGACUGCCCUACGGGUUGUAAACUUCUUUUAUAAAGGAAUAAAGUGAGGCACGUGUGCCUUUUUGUAUGUAAUUUAUGAAUAAGGAUCGGCUAACUCCGUGCCAGCAGCCGCGGUAAUACGGAGGAUCCGAGCGUUAUCCGGAAUUAUUGGGUUUAAAGGGGGCGUAGAUGGGUUGUUAAGUCAGUUGUGAAAGUGUGCGGCUCAACCGUAAAAUUGCAAUUGAUACUGGCAGGCUUGAGUACAGUAGAGGAAGGCGGAAUUCGUGGUGUAGCGGUGAAAUGCUUAGAUAUCACGAAGAACUCCGAUUGCGAAGGCAGCUUACUAAACUGCCACUGACAUUGAUGCUCGAAAGUGUGGGUAUCAAACAGGAUUAGAUACCCUUGUAGUC
rnacentral:rRNA from 1 species